rnacentral:lncRNA from 1 species
GGAGGCGUCCCCACUUCCCUAAGAGAAAACAAGGGCCGCGAUGCCUUUAGCCUAGGGUAACUAGACCUGGUUUUCAAUCUCUGUGGCAUCCCGUAAGGUAACCCGGGCCCUUCUGCUUCUCCACCUCUUCUUCUGUUACUCAGCCCGAGCGCACACUUUACAGACUUUUAACCAAGCAUUUGCUAAAUACUAGCCAUCUCACUCUGGGCAAGUCCGUGAGUCUCCAAAAGGAAGAUUAUUAUUAAAUACCCCGGCAGCGCUCUGAUCAAAAGCUAUCCCGAAGUUAAAGCGCUUAACCUCCAAGUCUUACAGAGAGCCAGGGCGCCCUAAAUGGUGGUUAAUUUAUGAUCACGGGCAAACGACUACUUGAGGCUUUGCCUGGGUGGUAAAGUUGUGUCUGCUGAGAUGAAGAUGAGGACCAGAGGGGGCCAGCGACCUCCAAAUGUCUAUGUGAACGUUUACACUGUGGGUCCUUGGUUUUCAUCAUGUUGUCAAAAGUAAUGAACACCUUCCUUGGACUUGAAAGAAGAGCCCAUUAUCUCGGCCAUGUUUGUCAAGAAACUAGUUCUGAUCAUAGAGUGGAGGGGAGCAACACCUCAGCUGCAGACUCAGAGCACCCUGGAUUUAGCUCCUGGCUUUCCUACUGAUCAGCGGUGUGACUCUGGGCAGGUGAAUCUAACUUGCUGAGCAAUCGUUUCCUCGUCUAUGGAAUGACAGUUGUCACCACCUGCCUGGCAAGAUGUGAAGGAUGGCAUGAGAUAAAGUUGAUAAGAAAGUGGUAUUAAUGGGCAUCUUAGCAAAUGCUUUCUUUCCAUGAUGACUUCAUGUCCUCUCUCCUCUCAGUGAGCUGUGUGUUCUGUAUAUCCUACUCGUUGAGACUGUCCUCUCUUUAGCUCAGUACCCUUUCAAUAUAUUUUCAAAUA